GUGGGGAAUAUUGGGCAAUGGGGGAAACCCUGACCCAGCAACGCCGCGUGAGGGAAGAAGGUUUUCGGAUUGUAAACCUCUGUCCUUGGUGACGAAGGAAGUGACGGUAACCAAGGAGGAAGCCCCGGCUAACUACGUGCCAGCAGCCGCGGUAAUACGUAGGGGGCAAGCGUUGUCCGGAAUGACUGGGCGUAAAGGGCGUGUAGGCGGCCGAUUAAGUCUGGAGUGAAAGUCCUGCUUUCAAGGUGGGAAUUGCUUGGGAGACUGGUUGGCUUGGGUGCGGAAGAGGUAAGUGGAAUUCCCAGUGUAGCGGUGAAAUGCGUAGAGAUUGGGAGGAACACCAGUGGCGAAGGCGACUUACUGGGCCGUAACUGACGCUGAGGCGCGAAAGCGUGGGGAGCGAACAGGAUUAGAAACCCUGGUAGUCC
rnacentral:rRNA from 1 species